CAAGCUUCUUCACCCCAAGCCUCUUCAAUACAAGCUUCUCCCUUUUCAAGCUUCUUCCUUUUAAGUUUCUUAAGCCGAGAGAAUCCGAAAAAGGUCUUAAAGGAGUUUCACCCCGAGGUGAAGAAAGGAGUAAGAAGGUUGAUUCACUUCCCAUCCUACCCUACCUCUACCUCACCUACAAACCUACAAACCCUGUAACUUCCUUGUAGUAGAUCUUAGGAAGCACAUGUGCUGAGCAACCUUUGUAAGUAAUACCCGAAAUUACAUCUCCAAAACCUUUGUACAAAUCUUACAAA
rnacentral:misc_RNA from 1 species